GCAGUUUUUCAUGCUUAGCUAGUAGUGUAAUCUUUGGAAAUGAAUUUAAACAGGAAACGUCAACCACCAAAUCUUUGACCCUCAUUUCCACCAAAGAUGGAUGGGUUUUUCGAGAAGCGUAAAAUACCUCUCAAAUAAAUUUUAAAAACGAUCUUUGAAAGGCAACUACAAUGAAAAUUUCAGCUUCCCAGCUCUUACGGUUGGGAUGUGCGUUGAUCACCAAUCAGUCAGGACAAACAGUUUUAUUCAUAGAGAUGCAUAUCAUAUACAGAGCACAGCAGCCAACGGUAUAUAUACAACAAAAGAAGCUCACAAAUUAUCAGGACGAUGGCGUGCAAGGUGCUACGUCUACCCGCCGCCCCUGCGAUUUGAAACACUACGUUCAAGAAGGACUCCUGUUGAAGUAUAGUUAUUUGAACCGUCUCAACAACAGGAUCGCCAAAGCUUAUACGGAUUAAAUAGGAGAUCAUAGGUUUGGCAUAGAUAAAUAUCUUUUCAGUUUUUAAAUGAUUUUUUUUUUGUUUUAAAUUGUGUAUUAUA